GGGUUGUGAGGUUAAGCGACUAAGCGUACACGGUGGAUGCCCUGGCAGUCAGAGGCGAUGAAGGGCGUGCUAAUCUGCGAUAAGCGCCGGUAAGGUGAUAUGAACCGUUAUAACCGGCGAUACCCGAAUGGGGAAACCCAGUGUGAUUCGUCACACUAUCAUUAACUGAAUCCAUAGGUUAAUGAGGCGAACCGGGGGAACUGAAACAUCUAAGUACCCCGAGGAAAAGAAAUCAACCGAGAUUCCCCCAGUAGCGGCGAGCGAACGGGGAGGAGCCCAGAGCCUGAAUCAGCAUGUGUGUUAGUGGAAGCGUCUGGAAAGGCGCGCGAUACAGGGUGACAGCCCCGUACACAAAAGCGCAUGUGCUGUGAGCUCGAUGAGUAGGGCGGGACACGUGGUAUCCUGUCUGAAUAUGGGGGGACCAUCCUCCAAGGCUAAAUACUCCUGACUGACCGAUAGUGAACCAGUACCGUGAGGGAAAGGCGAAAAGAACCCCGGCGAGGGGAGUGAAAAAGAACCUGAAACCGUGUACGUACAAGCAGUGGGAGCACNNNNNNNNNNNNNUGACUGCGUACCUUUUGUAUAAUGGGUCAGCGACUUAUAUUCUGUAGCAAGGUUAACCGAAUAGGGGAGCCGGAGGGAAACCGAGUCUUAAUUGGGCGUUAAGUUGCAGGGUAUAGACCCGAAACCCGGUGAUCUAGCCAUGGGCAGGUUGAAGGUUGGGUAACACUAACUGGAGGACCGAACCGACUAAUGUUGAAAAAUUAGCGGAUGACCUGUGGCUGGGGGUGAAAGGCCAAUCAAACCGGGAGAUAGCUGGUUCUCCCCGAAAGCUAUUUAGGUAGCGCCUCGUGAAUUCAUCUCCGGGGGUAGAGCACUGUUUCGGCUAGGGGGCCAUCCCGGCUUACCAACCCGAUGCAAACUGCGAAUACCGGAGAAUGUUAUCACGGGAGACACACGGCGGGUGCUAACGUCCGUCGUGAAGAGGGAAACAACCCAGACCGCCAGCUAAGGUCCCAAAGUCAUGGUUAAGUGGGAAACGAUGUGGGAAGGCCCAGACAGCCAGGAUGUUGGCUUAGAAGCAGCCAUCAUUUAAAGAAAGCGUAAUAGCUCACUGGUCGAGUCGGCCUGCGCGGAAGAUGUAACGGGGCUAAACCAUGCACCGAAGCUGCGGCAGCGACACUGUGUGUUGUUGGGUAGGGGAGCGUUCUGUAAGCCUGUGAAGGUGUGUCGUGAGGCAUGCUGGAGGUAUCAGAAGUGCGAAUGCUGACAUAAGUAACGAUAAAGCGGGUGAAAAGCCCGCUCGCCGGAAGACCAAGGGUUCCUGUCCAACGUUAAUCGGGGCAGGGUGAGUCGACCCCUAAGGCGAGGCCGAAAGGCGUAGUCGAUGGGAAACGGGUUAAUAUUCCCGUACUUGGUGUUACUGCGAAGGGGGGACGGAGAAGGCUAUGUUGGCCGGGCGACGGUUGUCCCGGUUUAAGCGUGUAGGUGUGUGUUCCAGGUAAAUCCGGUUCACUUUAACACUGAGGCGUGACGACGAGGCACUACGGUGCUGAAGCAACAAAUGCCCUGCUUCCAGGAAAAGCCUCUAAGCAUCAGGUAACAUCAAAUCGUACCCCAAACCGACACAGGUGGUCAGGUAGAGAAUACCAAGGCGCUUGAGAGAACUCGGGUGAAGGAACUAGGCAAAAUGGUGCCGUAACUUCGGGAGAAGGCACGCUGACACGUAGGUGAAGUGAUUUACUCAUGGAGCUGAAGUCAGUCGAAGAUACCAGCUGGCUGCAACUGUUUAUUAAAAACACAGCACUGUGCAAACACGAAAGUGGACGUAUACGGUGUGACGCCUGCCCGGUGCCGGAAGGUUAAUUGAUGGGGUCAGCGCAAGCGAAGCUCCUGAUCGAAGCCCCGGUAAACGGCGGCCGUAACUAUAACGGUCCUAAGGUAGCGAAAUUCCUUGUCGGGUAAGUUCCGACCUGCACGAAUGGCGUAAUGAUGGCCAGGCUGUCUCCACCCGAGACUCAGUGAAAUUGAACUCGCUGUGAAGAUGCAGUGUACCCGCGGCAAGACGGAAAGACCCCGUGAACCUUUACUAUAGCUUGACACUGAACAUUGAGCCUUGAUGUGUAGGAUAGGUGGGAGGCUUUGAAGUGUGGACGCCAGUCUGCAUGGAGCCGACCUUGAAAUACCACCCUUUAAUGUUUGAUGUUCUAACGUGGACCCGUUACCCGGGUUGCGGACAGUGUCUGGUGGGUAGUUUGACUGGGGCGGUCUCCUCCUAAAGAGUAACGGAGGAGCACGAAGGUUGGCUAAUCCUGGUCGGACAUCAGGAGGUUAGUGCAAUGGCAUAAGCCAGCUUGACUGCGAGCGUGACGGCGCGAGCAGGUGCGAAAGCAGGUCAUAGUGAUCCGGUGGUUCUGAAUGGAAGGGCCAUCGCUCAACGGAUAAAAGGUACUCCGGGGAUAACAGGCUGAUACCGCCCAAGAGUUCAUAUCGACGGCGGUGUUUGGCACCUCGAUGUCGGCUCAUCACAUCCUGGGGCUGAAGUAGGUCCCAAGGGUAUGGCUGUUCGCCAUUUAAAGUGGUACGCGAGCUGGGUUUAGAACGUCGUGAGACAGUUCGGUCCCUAUCUGCCGUGGGCGCUGGAGAACUGAGGGGGGCUGCUCCUAGUACGAGAGGACCGGAGUGGACGCAUCACUGGUGUUCGGGUUGUCAUGCCAAUGGCACUGCCCGGUAGCUAAAUGCGGAAGAGAUAAGUGCUGAAAGCAUCUAAGCACGAAACUUGCCCCGAGAUGAGUUCUCCCUGAGACUUAGAGUCUCCUGAAGGAACGUUGAAGACGACGACGUUGAUAGGCCGGGUGUGUAAGCGCAGCGAUGCGUUGAGCUAACCGGUACUAAUGAACCGUGAGGCUUAACCUUACAACGCCGAAG
rnacentral:rRNA from 2 species